ACAUGCAAGUCGAGCGGACAGAUGGGAGCUUGCUCCCUGAUGUUAGCGGCGGACGGGUGAGUAACACGUGGGUAACCUGCCUGUAAGACUGGGAUAACUCCGGGAAACCGGGGCUAAUACCGGAUGCUUGUUUGAACCGCAUGGUUCAAACAUAAAAGGUGGCUUCGGCUACCACUUACAGAUGGACCCGCGGCGCAUUAGCUAGUUGGUGAGGUAAUGGCUCACCAAGGCGACGAUGCGUAGCCGACCUGAGAGGGUGAUCGGCCACACUGGGACUGAGACACGGCCCAGACUCCUACGGGAGGCAGCAGUAGGGAAUCUUCCGCAAUGGACGAAAGUCUGACGGAGCAACGCCGCGUGAGUGAUGAAGGUUUUCGGAUCGUAAAGCUCUGUUGUUAGGGAAGAACAAGUACCGUUCGAAUAGGGCGGUACCUUGACGGUACCUAACCAGAAAGCCACGGCUAACUACGUGCCAGCAGCCGCGGUAAUACGUAGGUGGCAAGCGUUGUCCGGAAUUAUUGGGCGUAAAGGGCUCGCAGGCGGUUUCUUAAGUCUGAUGUGAAAGCCCCCGGCUCAACCGGGGAGGGUCAUUGGAAACUGGGGAACUUGAGUGCAGAAGAGGAGAGUGGAAUUCCACGUGUAGCGGUGAAAUGCGUAGAGAUGUGGAGGAACACCAGUGGCGAAGGCGACUCUCUGGUCUGUAACUGACGCUGAGGAGCGAAAGCGUGGGGAGCGAACAGGAUUAGAUACCCUGGUAGUCCACGCCGUAAACGAUGAGUGCUAAGUGUUAGGGGGUUUCCGCCCCUUAGUGCUGCAGCUAACGCAUUAAGCACUCCGCCUGGGGAGUACGGUCGCAAGACUGAAACUCAAAGGAAUUGACGGGGGCCCGCACAAGCGGUGGAGCAUGUGGUUUAAUUCGAAGCAACGCGAAGAACCUUACCAGGUCUUGACAUCCUCUGACAAUCCUAGAGAUAGGACUUCCCCUUCGGGGGCAAAAUGACAGGUGGUGCAUGGUUGUCGUCACCUCCUGUCCUGAGAUGUUGGGUUAAAUCCCGCAACAAAGGCAACCCUUGAUCUUA
rnacentral:rRNA from 1 species